rnacentral:RNase_P_RNA from 1 species
CAGGGGGCCGAGGCAGCCGCGAGCGUUCUCGUUCGAGGAAAGUCCGGGCUCCACGAAGCAAAGGUGGCGGGUAACGCCCGCCGAGUGCCCGCUUUCGGGCGGGCAUUUAGGGAAAGUGCCACAGAGAGUGUACCGCCGAUGGACCUAACGGUCACAGGCAAGGGUGAAAGGGUGCGGUAAAAGCGCACCGGGGCUGCUGGUAACAGCGUCCGCAUGGUAAACCCCACCUGGAGCAAGGCCAAAUAGGGGUCUCGCGCCUUUUAGGCAGGAGUGCAUCGCUCCGAGAGAUCCGGGUUGGCUGCUUGAGCCGUUCGGCAACGGACGGCCUAGACGAAUGGCUGCCACCGCGCGGCCGGUCCCCCGAAGAGAUUUGGGCGGAUACCGCGUGCGGACACAGAACCCGGCUUAUGAAGCCCCCUGACAU